AAAUCCCAGUACUCCUUGCAGCCCCUCCUAGUCUCCCAUCCCAUCAUCUCACAUCCAAUAGAGGACUGUGAGGGGGCGAAAUGGUUUUUUAAGUAGGAGAACAGUAUGAAAAGCAGCUGUGUCUCACCUUGCUCUCCUUAUGGGGAUGGAGAGUAACUCCAAGACAAGUGGAAGGAGCUGGGCCUGGAGAGAAUCAUCUGUACAACAUGGGAAUGUCUUCGAGAGGGCAAGAAGUCGCUUGCUGGAUGCCAGCACCUUGAUAUUGGACUUCUCAUCCUCCAGAACUAUAAUUGACAAUAGGCUCCCAUGGAAGUCUUCUGUGCAUUUCUGCAAAAAUUUAGGAAACAUUAGGUUUGACACCAUCAUCAUGUUUGCCAAGGCAGCAAAAAUCCCAGCCGGCAAAGCUUCAAGUGUGAUGAAGCGGAACAGCAAGGACAGCACGGAAUGACUGAUCAUUUCAGAAUGCCGUCUAGCGAGAGUUUCCAAUGUGGGAGUUUUCCAUUGUUUUGAAGCAGGAGAAAUAGGGACCGGCUGCUUUGGAAGAAACAUGCUGUAGGUAGGAUUUCCUCUUCUUUCUUUUCUACCUGACUUUCUGCUCUCAAGUGGUUCUUUGAAGAUAAAAUUAUUUUGUAAUACUUUCAUUUAAUAACAACAAAACUUUUUUAUAUUCAGUAAGUUGAAAGUGUAUAGAACAGUCAGUGUCUGAUUUAUUACUAUUACUGAUGUUCAGGGCACAAUGAGGCCACAGGAGGGGUAGUGUCAAUUCUAUUGGAGAAUCAGGCAAAGCUUCCUAGGGAUGUACCCUUGGAGCUGAGUCUUGACUUAUACGCAAGGAUUAGUUGGGUAAAUGGGCAGCAUAGGAGGGAAUGCCCUUCUAGGGAGAAUAAACAUGUUAGAGGAACCCCUGCCUACCACGCCUCUGGCUUAAUAAAACAUGACCUGAAUGAUUCCAUCUUGAAGUGAGUAGCGAGGCACUCACAAGGCACUUAUAAGGUUAAUAUUUAUGGUCUGAAAAUAACCACAUUCUAAGCUGACCAUCAAUUAUAAUUACAGAAUAUUUAUGGCCAUACAGAACAUCUCCCACCAAGUCUGCAGAAUGUCCAGAUGUCCUAAGAAUACAGCUCACUUUACUUAAGUAAAGUGUUAAUGAGUGUUAACGAGUUAAUUACUGUUAAUGAGUGGGCUUAGGUUGAAGGAUUAAUGGUCAUCUAUAACACCAAUAGCCUCUACCUUUAAAGAGCACAUCUGCAUGUUCCAAGUCUAAAUCUAGCCCCUUACAGUUUCUAGUAAGUAGAGUCACUAAGAAAGGAUGGCGUGUUCCUCCUUCUGUUUUCUGAGGACGCCCUACUCUGUAAUAGAGUAGUUUCCAAUAAACUCAAUUCUUUUACUGU
ensembl:lncRNA novel transcript